CUAUAUGGGCUCAAACGGCAUCCAAAAGCAUGGUCGCGAUGUAAGAUUUUCCAGCUAACCAAUUAUUCCUCUAAUAAACAAAGCUUUUAUACCACACUUGUCAUAAUCAGAGCUUAUAAUUUGUAAAUAAAUAAUUGCUGGAUUCAAAACAGCAAUUAAAAGGCACUGUGACCGACACUUGACAAUACGUUUUCCCGGAGCAUUCAAUGAUGUCACUAAACGGUGAUGCCACAACUAAGAGCAUUGUUCACAAGUUUCUGCAUGGACCCAACUAGCCUAGGGCACAGGUUUUCAAGCCCUGGGACAAAAUGGGAUGCUUUAAGGAAAAUGUAUAGCCUAUGUAAGUAAUAGGCCUAAAA